rnacentral:rRNA from 1 species
UAAUACGGAGGGUGCAAACGUUGUUCGGAAUUAUUGGGCGUAAAGGGCGCGUAGGCGGCCGGGUAUGUCUGGUGUGAAAUCCCAUCUCUCAAGGAUGGAACUGCGCUGGAAACUGCACGGCUAGAGUACUGGAGGGGGUGGCGGAAUUCCCGGUGUAGAGGUGAAAUUCGUAGAUAUCGGGAGGAACACCCGCGGCGAAGGCGGCCACCUGGACAGUUACUGACGCUGAUGCGCGAAAGUGUGGGGAGCAAACAGGAUUAGAUACCCUGGUAGUCCACACCGUAAACGAUGGGUGCUAGGUGUUGCGGGUAUUGACCCCUGCAGUGCCGAAGUUAACGCAUUAAGCACCCCGCCUGGGGACUACGGCCGCAAGGCUA